rnacentral:rRNA from 1 species
UACGUAGGUGGCAAGCGUUGUCCGGAAUUACUGGGUGUAAAGGGAGCGUAGGCGGGGAGACAAGUUGAAUGUUUAAACUAUCGGCUUAACUGAUAGUCGCGUUCAAAACUAUCACUCUUGAGUGCAGUAGAGGUAGGCGGAAUUCCUAGUGUAGCGGUGAAAUGCGUAGAUAUUAGGAGGAACACCAGUGGCGAAGGCGGCCUACUGGGCUGUAACUGACGCUGAGGCUCGAAAGCGUGGGUAGCAAACAGG